CUAACACAUGCAAGUCGAGCGGUAGCAUGGAUAGUAGCAAUACUAACUGAUGACGAGCGGCGGACGGGUGAGGAACACGUAGGAACCUGCCCAAGAGAGGGGGAUAACUAAGGGAAACUUUAGCUAAUGCCGCAUAAUUCUCUGAGGAGAAAAGUUGCCCGUAAGGGGAGCGCUUUUGGAGGGGCCUGCGUCCGAUUAGUUAGUUGGUGAGGUAAUGGCUCACCAAGACUGUGAUCGGUAACUGGUCUGAGAGGACGACCAGUCACACUGGGACUGAGACACGGCCCAGACUCCUACGGGAGGCAGCAGUGGGGAAUCUUGGACAAUGGGGGCAACCCUGAUCCAGCGAUGCCGCGUGGGUGAAGAAGGCCUUCGGGUUGUAAAGCCCUUUAGGCUGGGAAGAAGUUUAUGGGAUGAAUAAUCCUGUAAAUUGACGGUACCAGCAGAAUAAGCACCGGCAAACUCUGUGCCAGCCGCCGCAGUAA
rnacentral:rRNA from 1 species